CUAGCGCUCGAGAGAUCGUCGCGCCAGUUGUGAGAGUGAAAAGCAAACCACCGCAUCACCGCACGAUGUCUUAUCGCUUCAUUAUCGAAUUCGAAUCCGAUCUAAAUCUAUUCCGGCGAUCGUGAAAAAUUAUUGGGAAUAUUUGUGAAUAUUUUUAACACUUACGGUGGUAAAUAAAAAUAGCGUAGAUCGAUGAAGAUGGUUGGUACAAGGAACGAAUGAAAUCCUGAAUCCAUAAUCUGUAACGCGAUCCAUUGUUUGGUUAAGCUCUUGAAAAUUUUCUCCCGUGUAUGCAUAUGCGAUAACACGUAACGAAUUUGCAUGUUUCAUCAAUGAAUCGAAUUUUCAUACCACUCGAUUGAAGAAGAAUCUGCUCGCUCGACGGAACUCGUCUAAGAUAUACGUUUCUUCGAAUAUUUUUAUAUUUCGCGAUUAAAAAGAACUAAAAUCCGUACAAAUGAAUUAAAUAGUGAUUCUUGCAAAAAAAAAAAAAAGAAAUGUAACGAACGUUCGGAAUAUACGAAUGUGAAAAUGGUUGUUUACGAAACUAAGCCGGAUUUAUGUUUGAAAUCCUAGGAAAGAGAUUAGUCGACCAACUAUCCAAAUCAUUCGAAACGUUAAUGACUCGAAAGAGCAAUGGAUAAUAGAUGCUCUUGAAAGCCAUAUUUAAAAAACUCGUGCUUCAUCUAACCAUCAUAGAAGCUCCGCUUUUUAGACAAAAAUCGAGCUAAAAGAUAAUCGUAUUCGACGAUCUUUCAAGGAAUCGAUUCCAGAGGACGAAAAAUGAUCCAAUCUUUUUGUAGUAUCAUAUCGAAAUAGUAGCGUAAUAUUUGCACUGGAAUAAUAACGUUCACAUUUUGUUAUCCGAUUAUGGGUAAAUUUGAGUCGAAGGUACUGUUCAUUGGUGGAAAGAAGGAAGGAACGCGGAUCUGAUUGGUCAAUUUGUAAGGAAGGAAACGCCUAUUUUCACACGUAUUGUUUCUACCAUGGUAUUUAUUACAUAUACUGAUCCAAAAAGACACUAUCUAAACCUUCAUGCAUUAGCGUAGCCAUAAAAUCCAGAGAAUUCUAACGUAUCGAUAUGAUAUAAAAAUUUUUUUAUUUCUCAUAAUGCGUAGGCUAAUUACGAUUUGUAAUGAUAAUUUAUAAAAGUAAUUUAUUUCGAAUAAUUAAGAUAAUAAUUACACAAAUAAGCUAGAUAUAUUAUAGAUAUAUUAAUAUUAUAUUGAAAUAAUAGUUUCGAAAAUAUUUCAAUUCCUUCUAAAGUCUGAUUAUCCUAAUAUAACUUCAUAAAUGAAAAUAAUUUUUACGAUUUUAAAUAAUCAAAUUAUAAUUUUUCUACUACUAUGUAAAGUAUCAGGUAUCAAUUGUCAACAAAACAUCUUGAAGUGGGGAUAGACGGUGCUAGCGAAGUACCUCUCUUGCCCUUGAGUCGUGUCCUGCGAGACUUCUUUCCAAUAGUAAACAGAAGGUAUCAAAUUUAACUUACGAUCUGGAUUUCGAACAAGUUGAUGUUAAUCGUUAAUUACUAUGCAUUUUUCUAAAUUUAGUCUUUACGAAUUUAAAUUAUACAAAAAAAUAAAAAAUAUUCUGUUUCUUCGAAUAUUUUUUUAUCGAAAAGAAACGAGUUAUUAGGGAAUAAAAAUGAUGAUAUUUCAUUAAUUAGAACAAAGAACGAAGAAACUCUUUAUAAGAAUUUCGCGCAUCUUCCACACAGAUAAAAGGAGAAUGGGACUCUUGGCGAAAGCGAAGUUCGAGAUUGGGAACACGAGAGUUCGAGGCAACAACAAGUUCAAAGUAUAACAACUCGGAUCAGAUAGAUACGGGCUAGUUAUAUGACAUUCGCUCGGAAAUAAAGUCAAACGACUGUCAACAGUUGCCAAAUUAUUCAAAACUUUGCUCGUUCAUUCGAAGAGAAUGAUCUAAUUAAUUCAAUAAUUACUGUGAAAUUUAUUUUAAAAAAAUUGGAGAAUUUGAAAGAACUAAAUGUUUUAAAAAUUGUAAAGAAUUUUUAUAAAUUAAAUAAAUAAAAAUUUUGAAUCAUAA